rnacentral:rRNA from 1 species
UACGUAGGGUGCGAGCGUUGUCCGGAAUUAUUGGGCGUAAAGGGCUCGUAGGCGGUUUGUCGCGUCGGGAGUGAAAUCCUACGGCUUAACUGUGGGCUUGCUUUCGAUACGGGCAGACUAGAGGUAUGCAGGGGAGAACGGAAUUCCUGGUGUAGCGGUGAAAUGCGCAGAUAUCAGGAGGAACACCGGUGGCGAAGGCGGGUCUCUGGGCCGAUACUGACGCUGAGGAGCGAAAGCGUGGGGAGCGAACAGG